CCACUACUAUUAUUUAUAGUGUCUCUUGAUUGUUUUGUGUGCAGCUAUGGAGACAUCAAAGAUAAGUAUGGCUGGCUUCUAUGGUGUGUAGGUGGAUGUCUCUUCACAGCAAAAGAUAAGUAGUUCCAUUGUGUACAGUGUCUCUCAUGCUCUCUGUGUAGGUUGAUUGUGUGUGUGGAGGAGCCACUGUAACUGCAUACACACAGAUGAGUAGCUAGCUAUGUUGUGUGGCAAGUCUCUCAUGCUCUGUGUAGGUUGAUGGUUGUGUAUAUAUUGAUGAUGGUUUGAUCAUAGAUAUUAUAGGAAGGAAGGAUUGGCAACGGAAGUGGUUCACGUGAUCAUUUUACAUGUGUUUCUGCAGUUUUGUAAUGAAACCAUCCGUGACUCGCCUGUUUUCCUGCCAGAAUGCCCACGAAAAGCAGAAAAAGUCUGUUGUGGUCUUCCUUUAGUGCCUCAUGACCUCUACACUGAUGUUGUGCUUUAUUUAGAGUUAGAUUAUCUUGCCAGUUUGUAAAACUAAAGAAACAAAGACUUUUUACUACAGAAAAACUACAAUUUUACAAGGUUUGAUCCCUUUUUAAGAAACAGUACUCAUCCAUAUUACUAUUCUUCAAGUUUUCCUGGUUGUAUGUAUGUAGGUUGAUCUACUGAAAGGCAAAAAUCGCCUAUUCAUACCAUUUAGAAUGUGUUGUAGUGUUGAGUAUGGCUUAUUUCAUCUGACGUUUUAUGCUCCCUUUUUAAGAAACACACAUGCUUUUAAAAUUAUACUGACUUCAUGAGAGUGUUUAUCAAUGUCAGGUCCAUCAACUGGCACAGGUUUUGUGCUUUAAAUUUUUGUCAGUUGCAGAAAAUAUGACUGGAGGUGUGUGUAAGGCCUGAUUAUCGGCUUAUAAUUAUAGUAAGAAACAGAACUGGGAUAGAAAGCUCCAGUCAUACUAUUAGAUCUCCAUCGUACUAUCAGUAUGCUGGAAGAAAUUUAUGAAGCUGAAGAAGGAAGAGUUGAUUGAUUUUGGGCUACAUAAUUAAAAAACGAAAUGAAAGACUUUGUUACAUGCAAAAGACCUGUACAGUUGUAUAGCACCAGCUCUACUUCAUGCAGUAGCAGCAGUAGCAGCAGUAGCAGUUCAUUAUGCAGCUUAUUAUGGCAAUUUAACUUUAUAUGACUUGUGAAAUGUUGAUAAUUUAUUAAAAUUUGG